rnacentral:lncRNA from 1 species
UAGAGACGGGGUUUCACUGUGAUAGCCAUGAUGGUCUCGAUCUCCUGACCUUGUGAUCUGCCUGCCUUGGCCUCCCAAAGUGCUGGGAUUACAGGUGCGAGCCACUGCGCCCGGCCUGUAGUGGUUAAUUCUUAAUACUUUGGGGGUCACAGACUCCUUUGAGAAUCUUACCUAAGCUACAGAACCUCACCACAGAAAAAAGCACAUAAUCACUUUUUUUAUCAUUUUAUGAAUAUUUCACAUUCAUCAUGAUAAUUUCACCUGGUCAAGUGGAUAUUAAACGAUAAGUAAAGGCUCAUAUAUGUGUGGAGAACUAGUGCAUACAGAAUUAUGGAGAAAUGAUGGUGGAUCAGUGGAGCAACUGGGGAGCUGCUGGGGCACAGGAGAGUGACAGGACAGGGGCUCAGCAUGCCUCCAACCCAAUCAGCAAAGCAUCCACACUUCCACAGCACUGUGCUGGGUGGGAAAGCUUGUUCUUGCCCUGGCUGAAAGACAAGAUGCAAGCGAUAUAGUGCUUCAUCAAUGUUGUAGACCGAACAUUUAUCUCUCUCCAAAAUGUAUAUGUUGAAAUAGAAUCUCCAAUGUGAUGGUAUUUGGAGGUGAGGCCUUUGAGAGGUAAUUAGGUCAUGAGCCUUCAUGAAUGGGAUUAGAGCCUUCAUAAAAGAGACUCCAGAGGGCUCCCUCACCCAUCUGCCAUGUGAGGAUACUGAGAAGAUGACCAUCUACGACCCAGGAAGCAGGCUUCACCAGACACCAAAUCUGCCAGCGCCUUCACCUUGUCCUUCUCAGCCUCUAGAACUCUGAGAAGUGUUUGUGGUUUAAGCUGCCCAGUCUAGGGUGCUUUUGCUAUGGCAGCUCAAACUGCCUAAAGCAGUCAGUAACCUCAGGAUAGGAGUGGGCUGCCAGGUGGAACCCUCCCGAAAGGUUUCUGGAUGGAAGAUUUGAGUCACUUAAAUAUAUAUCAUGCAUCAUGUGUGCGUGAAGAGAGACAGAGAGAGGCGGGUGGGGCAGGAGAAUAUGUACUGCCUCGUUAUGCAUGCUCAUAUAGUCCUGAUUUGUUAUGCUGUCAUGUGAUACAUAACAAUGUUUGGGUCAACAAUGAACCACAUAUAUGGUAGUCAUCCUAUAAGAUUAUAAUACCAGGCCAGGCACAGUGGCUCACGCCUGUAAUCCCAGCACUUUGGGAGGCCUAGGCAGGCGGAUAACCUGAGGUCAGGAGUUCAAGACCAGCCUGGUCAACGUGGAGAAACCCUGUCUCUACUAAAAAUACAAAAAUUAGCUGGGCUUGGUAGCGUGCGCCUGUCAUCCCAGCUACUCGGGAGGCUGAGGCAAGAGAAUCACUUGAACCCGGGAGGCGGAAGUUGCAGUGAGCCUAGACCCUGCCAUUGCACUCCAGGCUGGGCAACAAGAGCAAAACUCCAUCUUAAAGAUAAAAAAGAUUAUAAUACCGUAUUUUCACUGUACCAUUUCUAUGUUUAGAUACACAAACACCACUGUGUUACAGUUGCCUACAGCAUUCAGUAUACAGUACUCAUCAUGCUGGAUGAGUCUGUAGCCUAGGAGCGACAGGCUACACCAUAUAACUUAGGUGUCUAGUGGGUUAUACCAUCUAGGUUUGUGUAAGUAUACUCUGAUGUUAUCACAAUGAUAAAGUCGCCUAGCAAUGCAUUUCUCAGAAUGUUUCCCUCUUGUUAAAUGGCACAUGAGUGUAUUUCAGUUUCUUUCUUUCUUCUUUUUCUUUCUUUCUUUCCUUCUUCUUUCUCUCUCUGUUUCUUUCUUUUUCUUUUUCUUUUUUUUCAUGGUCAUUCUCUUUCACCCAAGCUGGAGUGCACUGGUGCAAACACGGCUUACUGAAGCCUCAACUUCCUGGGCUCAAGCAGUCCUUCCACCUCUGCCCCCCAAGUAGCUGGGACUACAGGCACACACCACCAUGCCCAGCUAAUUUUUUGUUGUUGUUGUUUUUGUAGGGAUGGGGUUUCGCCAUGUUGCCCAGGCUGGUCUUGAGCUCUUGAGCUCAAGCAAUCUGCCCACCUUGGCCUCCUCCCAAAGUACCGGGAUUGCAGACAUGAGCCACCUCGCCCGGCUAUUUCAAUUUCUAUAGUGCUAGUAAAAAUCCACUAAAUUGUUUAUCCAACUCAUCAAUAAGUUCAACCCACAGUUUGAAAACCCUAGUCUAGAUUUUUUUCUUUCUAUUCCCUUCAGUAUGAACAUGAGAAAGGCUCAUCAUCAUUCCAUAUUUGAUAUUUUGACAUAAAUCUGCUGGAUUUAGUUAAAUUACAGUUCUCCCAAAUAAUCAGGAGAAAUUUGACUAGAACUAUCUUGGUAUUGCCCAUGGUUGUUGCUUCUCUUUGACAGUAAACCAAAAAAUUAAGCGCAUGGUUAUGGAGUCUGACCGCUUGAGCUGGCUGCCCCACCUGCCUCAGUUUCUUUAUCAAUAUCUGGGACAUCAUCAUCUUAAUAGUAACUGCCUCUGGGUAAGCCAUGUAAGACAAAUUAACACAAGGCCUGGCACAUAGUAAGUGCUCAAAAGAUGUUGGCAACUAUUUUUAUUUAUUUAUUUAUUUAUUUAUUUAUUUAUUUAUUUAACUAUGUAUUUAGUGACGGAGUCUUGCUCUGUCGCCCAGGCUGGAGUGCAGUGGCUCACUGCAAGCUCCGCCUCCCUGGUUCACGCCAUUCUCCUGACUCAGCCUCCCGAGUAGCUGGGACUACAGGCGCCUGCCACCACUCCCGGCUAAUUUUUUGUAUUUUUAGUAGAGAUGGGGUUUCACCGUGUUAGCCAGGUUGGUCUCGAUCUCCUGACCUCGUGAUCCGCCCGCCUCGGCCUCCCACAGUGCUGGGAUUACAGGCGUGAGCCACCGCGCCCGACCUAUUUAUUAUUUUUUAAACUGUCAAUGUUGUUGUCUUACAGCGGAGACCUGAAAGCAGCUUAGCCAUGAGCAGCGCUCAAAUAAGGAAAGAAAUUCUUUGCAAUAAAUAGGGAUCUUUGAAAGGUUUUACGUUGGACCCGCCUUACCGUGGACAGACACUAGAGGGUGCUCCUCGCUCAGAAAGCCGAGUGUUUCCAGGCCCGGGACCUCUGCCAGGAAGCGCUUCGACUGCCGGUUCUGAAACUCUCUCUUUGGGUCUGGUAAUUUACUGGGGAGAACUGGCUGCUGCCUUGGUUCUGAAACUAAAGGCUUUUUACGGAAGUAGGAGGAGACUGCAAGAGGCUAUAUGGAGCAGAAAUGUGGCUCCUUCAAACUUUCACCAAUUGGCGUUCUGCCGGACUGUGACUUGGAGGAUUCCAGCAGUGUCUCAUUCACCCAUGAGCCCCAGGGUCUAGCACACAUAGUGUCUGGCAGACAGUGAGCGCUUUGUAAAUAUUUAUGGAAUGGGACCAACCGAUGGAGGCGUCUGAGACCUAAAUAAUUAUAAUUACAAAUUGGCAAGUGCUGGCACGAUGACCACAGACCAUUAAGGGCGCUCCCAGAAGAGUGGGGGCUGGGGAGGAUUGGCCAGAAUGGCUUCCUGAAAUUCAGGAGCCCUGGCACUCUCUGGGGUACACAGAAAAGAUCUUCCACAUCCGGCUUUUGGAUAUUUAAAAACAGCUUCAUGCUCCAUUUUUUUCAUGUCCUUCCUGUGGAAUGAUUUCUAGGCUUUUCACUAAGUUGAUCGCUCCCUGCAGACUUGUAGGAAGGCAAAUAAUAGGUUAGCACCUACUGGGUUCAAGCAUCUCCUAUGAUCUCCAUUAUCUGAUUUAAUUGUGUCUUUAUCUCAUUUAAUCCCCACAACAACUCUCUGAGACUAAGGCUAUUAUCCACAUUCUACAGAUUAGAACUUGGUAAGGUUUGAUAACUGGCCCAAGAUCACACCAUUAGGGAGUGACAGGACCAGUAUUUGAACCCAGAUAGUCUAGCAGCAAAAGAUGCUUUUAAAAAUUUUCACUUAAAAGAAUAACAACAACAGCAACUAACAGUAUGGAGGGGGCCAGAUAGUUUUCUGUGUUUUACAUUUAUUAACUCAUUUAAGUCAUUUAAUUGCUAUACACCUAGAUGUCAUCCUUUCUAUUAAUACAUUGUUAGUACUGAAAAGUGAAGAGAAUGAUACAACAAACACCCAUGUACUCAUCACCUGGCAUGAAAAAAAGGUUAAUGUUAAAGUUGAUAUUAUCCAGCCACAACAAUCUUGAAAAAGAACAAAGUUGGAGAACUUGGCCCAGUGCGGUGGCUCAUGCUUGUAAUCCCAGCAUUUUGGGAGGCCAAGGCGUGUGGAUUGCUUGAGCCCAAGAGUUCAAUACCAGCCUGGGCAACAUGGUAAAAAUACAAAAAAUUUCUACAAAAAAAAAAGUUUCUACGAAAAAAAUACAAAAAUUAGCCUGGUGUGGUGGUGCUCGCCUGUGGUCCCAGCUACUCAGGAGGCUGAGGUGGGAGGAUCACCUGAGCCCAGGGAGGUUGAGGCUGCAGUGAGCCAAGAUAGCACCACUGCACUCCAGCCUAGGCAAAAGAGCAAGACCUUGUCUCAAAAAAAAAAAAAAAAAAAAGUUGGAGAACUUACACUUUCCAAGUUCAAAAGCUACAGUAAUGAAAACAAUGUGGUACUGGCAUAAGGAUCAACAUGUACAUCAAUGGAAUAGAAUUGAGAGUCCAGAAAUAAACCUGUAUGUUUACGGUCAAGGUAUCAAGACAAUUAAAUAAGGAAAUAAGUUUUUUUCCCCACAAAUAGUGCUGGGACAUCUGGAUAGCCACAUGCAAAAGAAUGAAUUUGGACUCCUAUCUUUUAUUGUCUACAAAAAUUAACUCAAAACGAAUCAAAGACCUAAAGAUAAGAACUAAAACUAUAAAACUCUUAGAAAAAACAUAGGUGUAAACCUCUAUGACCUUGGAUUAAGCAAUGGUUUCUUACAUACAACACCAAAAGCACAAUCAACUGAAGAAAAAAUAAAUCAAUUAGACUUCAUCAAAAUUAAAAAUUUGAGUGUCAAGGCCCUAUCAAAGUUAAAAGAUAAAUCACGGAAUGGGAGAAAAUUUUUGCAAAUCAUAGAUCUGGAAAGGAUCUUGUAUCCAGAAGAUAGAAGAGCUGUUUUUCUGUUGUUGUUGAGACAGAGUCUUGCUCUGUCAUCCAGCCUAAAGUGCAGUGGCAUCAUCAUAGCUCACUGCAGCUUCCACCUCGUGGGCUCAAGCAAUCCUGUCACCUCAGUCUCCCGAGUAGCUGGGACUGUAGGUGUGCACCACCAUGCCUGGAUAACUAAAAAAAAUUUUUUUUAUAGACGAGCUCUCACUAUGUUGCCCAGGAUGGUCUUGAACUCUUGGCCUCAAGCGAUACUCCCACCUCUGCCAUCCAAAGUGUUGGGAUUAGAGUGAGCCACCUCAUCCAGCCUAUAAGAACUCUUGUAAUUUAAUAAUAAAAAGACAAAUAACCCAAUUUAAAUUUGGGCAAAUGACUGGAAUAAGCAUUUCUCCAAAGAAGAUAUACAAAUGCCAAGAAGCACAUGAAAAGAUAGUCAGCAUCAGCCAGGCAUGGUGGCUCAUGCCUAUAAUCCUAGCACUUUGGGAGGCCAAGGCAGGUGGAUCACCUGAGGUCAAGAGUUUGAGACCAGCCUGGCCAACAUGGUGGCACCUCGCCUCCACUAAAAAUACAAAAAUUAGCCAGGUGUGGUGGCAGAUGUCUGUAAUCCCAGCUACUCAGGAGGCUGAGGCAAGAGAACUGCUUGAACCUGGAUGGUGGAGGUUGCAAUGAGCCAAGAUCGCACCACUACACUCCAGCCUGGGCAACAAGAGCAAAACUCCAUAUCAAAAAAAAAAAAAAAAAAAAGAUACUCAGUAUCAUUAACCAUUAGGGAAAUGCAAAUCAAAACUUUCAAACCCACUAGCAUGGCUAUAGUUUAAAAGACAAUAACUAGUAUUAGCAAGGAUGUAGACAAAUUGGAACCCUCAUAAAUCACUAGUGGGAAUAUAAAUAGGUGCAGCCUCUGUGGAAAAUGGUUUGGGAGGUCUUCAAAAAGUUCAAUAUAGAGUUACCGUAAGACCUAGAAAUUCCACUGCUAGCUAUAUACCCAAAAUAAUUGAGAACAUUAUAUAUACUUGUACAUGAGACCAGGAGCAGUGACUCACACCUAUAAACCCAGUACUUGGGGAGGCCAAGGCAGGAGGAUCCCUUGAGCCCAGGAAUUUGAGACCAGCCUGAGCAACAUAAUGAGAUCCUAUCUCUACAAAAUAUAAAAAAUCAGCUGGAUGUGGUGGUGUAUGCCUAUAAUUCCAGCUACUGGGGAGGCUGAGGUGGGAGGAUCGCUUGAGCAGAGGAGUUGGAGGCUGCAGUGAGCUAUGAUCAUACCAUUGCACUCCAGCCUGGGUAACACAGCAAGACUCUGUCUCAAAAAAAAAAAAAAAAAAGGUGUAGCUGGAUGCAGUAGCUCACGCCUGUAAUCCCAGCACUUUGGGAGGCCAAGGCGGGCAGAUCACGUGAGGUCAGGAGUUUGAGACCAGCCUGGCCAACAUGGUGAAACCCUAUCUCUACUAAAAAUACAAAAAUUAGCUGGAAGUGGUGGCGCACACCUGUAAUCCCAGCUACUCAGGAAGCCAGGAUGGGAGAAUCGCUUGAACCCAGGAGGUGGAGGUUGCAGUGAGCCGAAAUUGUACCACUGCACUCCAGCCUGGCCAAUAAAAUGAGAUUCUGUCUCAAAAAAAAAAAAAAAAAGAUACAUAUACAUAUACAUGAAUGCUCAUAGCAGCAUUAUUUAUAAUGACCAAAAGGUGGAAAUGUAUCAGUCCAUUCUCACACUGCUGUAAAGAAUUGCCUAAGACUGGGUAAUUUAUAAAGGAAAGGGUUUUAAUUGACUCACAGUUCCGCAUUGCUGGGGAGACCUCUGGAAACUUACAAUCAUGGCAGGAAGCAAAGGAGAAACAGGCACCUUCUUCACAGGGUGGCAGGACGGGAGUGAGUGCAAGCAGGGGAAAUGCCAGAUGCUUAUAAAACCAUCAGAUCUCCUGAGACUCACUCAUUAUCAUGAGAACAGCAUGGGGGAAACCACCCCCAUGAUCCAAUUACCUCUACCUGGUCCCGCCCUUGACAUGUGGGAUUAAUACAAUUCAAGGUGAGGUUUGGGUGGGGACACAGAGCCAAACCAUAUCAGGGAACAACCCAGGUGUUUAUCAGUCGACGAGUGGAUAAACAAAAUGUGGUCUGUUCAUGCAGUGGAAUAUUAUUCUACCAUAAAAAGGAAUGAAGUACUGAUACAAGCUACAGCAUGGAUGAACCUUGUAAACACUAUGCUAAGUGAAAGAAGCCAGUCACAAAAGGCCAUAUAUUAUAUGAUUCCAUUUAUAUUAAAUGUUCAGAUAGGCACAUUCAUUGAGAUCUGUGGUUGUCAGGGGCUAGAAGUAGGGAGUAAUGAGAAAUGACUGCACACAGGCACAGGUUCUGGAAUUGGAUAGUAGUGAUUGUUGAACCGCCUUGUGAAUCUGCUAAAAAACACUGAGUCAUACAUUUGUAAAUGGUGAAUUUUAUAGUAUAUGAAUUAUAGCUCAAUAAAAAAAGAGAGAGAAAAAAGUUGAUAUUUUCUUCAUAGAUAGCUCCAUGGUUCUCAAACAUUUUGGUCUCAAAACCCCUUUAGACUCUUAACAAUUACUGAGGGCCCCAAAAAGCUCUUGUUUAUGUAUUUUGUUUUUGUGUGCUUAUGUUCAAUAUCCAUUGACAUUUACCAUGUUAGAAAGUAAAACAGAAAUUUGUAAAAAUAUGCAUUAUUUCCUUUAAAAUAGCAUUAAUAAACCAUAUGCUGUACAUGUUAUCAUAAAUAACAGUUGAAAAAUAAUUGUAUUUUCCAAAACAAAAGAAUUAGUGAGAAGAGUGACAUUGUUUUGCAUUUUUGCUGUCAAAUGUCUGGCUGAGUAGAAGAUAGCUGCAUUCUCUUACCUGCUUCUACUUACAUUCAAUGUGUUGAGAUAUGUUGUUUUGGUUGAAAUAUAUGAAAAAAGUCUGUCUUCACACAGAUACGUGGUUGAAAAAAGGAAGACUAUCUUAAUAGCCUUUUCAAAUAAUUGUGGAUAUUUUUCUUAGAUUACAUACCAAAACUGGACAAGUAUAGUUUCUUAAAGGUUAAUUGCAAUGUGGAACCUGAAACCAUAAACUUUUCAAUUGGUCUAUCAUGAUCAUGUACUUUUUUUUUUUUUUUUUCAGACAGAGUCUUACUUUGUCGCCCAGGCUGGAGUUCAGUGGCACAAUCAGGGCUUACUGCAGCCUCAACCUUCCAGGCUCGAGUGAUCCUCCCUGCUCAGCCCCUGGUGGGACUACAGGGAUGCGCCACCAUGCCCAGCUAAUUUUUUUUUAGUAGAGAUGGGUUUUUGCCUGCCUGCCUGCUUUCCUUCCUUCCUUCCUUCCUUCCUUCCUCCCUUCCUUCCUUCCUUCCUUCCUUCUUCAGGGUCUUCCUCUGUCACUCAAACUGGAGUGCAGUGGUAUUAUCUCAGCUUACUGCAACCUCCACCUCCCGGGUUCAAGCAAUUCUCAUGCCUCAGCCUCCCAAGUAGCUGGGAUCACAGGUAUGUGUCAUGAUACCUGGCUAAUUUUUGUGUUUUUUCUAAAGAUGGGGUUUCGCAAUGUUGACCAGGCUGAUCUUGAACUCCUGGCCUCAGGUGAUCCACCCACUUCGGCCUCCCAAACUGUUGGGAUUACAGGCGUGAGCCAUCAAGCCUGACCUCAAGUUCCCUCUUUCUAAUCUGGAAUUGAGAAUAGCACUAGCAUCCAGGCCCACCUCAAAGGGUCAGACUGAAGUUCAGAUGGCCCAAGGAUGCACUAGAAAGUUCUUUAUGCAAUGUAAAUGAGAGUUGCCUACUCUUGUCAGGCUCAAGUACCUUCACUCUACAGGCAACUGGCUACAGGCUUCUCACCCUGAGCGGUGGUCAGCUCAGCCAACUCACCCUCUCCACCCUCCUCCCUCCCUCCUUUUUCACAGGAAACUUAAGAGUCAGAUCUCUUCCACUGCAAAUGGAGAUUCUUGAUUUGGAGAGAAUAAGAUAAAGGACCUGACAUCAAUCCUUACUCUUGAAAGCAUGUUGUUACUUUCUAAAUAUUAUUGAAAUUAAAAAAAAAAAAUCUUCCCCCCAAAUCAGUAUAUUUGAAUUGCUAACAAGCCUCUCUGCCUUGUUUUUAUCUCAAAGAAUAAAAUGCUGAGCCCUGCGUGGGAUGCUAGAUGCUAGAGAACUCCCCCAUCUCUCUCUCUCUCUCUCUCUCUCUCUCUCUCUCUCUCUCUCUCUCUCUCUCUCAGUUCUGAACAAGGAGGGAAGGGGUAAAGAGUCCUUAGUGAGCGCCUUCUGCAGGGACAACCCUUCUGGACCCAUCUGGAUGGGAGCAGCCAGGAGAGGCAAGAAGCAGCUGUAUUUGGUGGCACUGCCACAGCGUCUCCUCAGCCCCAGCAAGUGGCCUUUGGUCUAGAGUUGGUCCAUCUGGCCCGCACAAGGCUCGAAUCCAGCCCUAGAGACGCUCCCCGCCUGCUCCAGGUGGCCGGCACCCUAGACGGGGCAGGAAGGGCAGGCGCCAAGCCUCAAGUCUCAAACACGGUGCGGGGCUGCGCGGCAAGGAGAAACCCAGGAGAUGCUCGGGGUCGGGGCCCAGGGCAGGGAAAACCCUCAGCUCUGGUCAAAAGCCAAGUGAGCGAAGGAGGCGAUGCAACGUCACCCUGGUGGCCAAGGCAGGCACCCAGGUCUCGAGGUUCCAGGAGAGGGACGCGCUGUGACCACCAGCCCCCUAGGCUCCUGUCUGCUCGAUGAGCGUCCACUCGCCAGUUCCAGCCGCGAGCGCCCCCAGCACUCCCGGAGCUGGGCCGGGCGCCGCCUUCCCUCGGGCGGCCGGCAGGGGUCAGUGUUUGGCCGCAGGUGAACAGACAGCGGCCGGGGCUGAAUCUGGUUCUUCUAGCUGGGUCUUGCCCCUGCCAAUCUGUCUGGACUUGUCCCCUGGCCGUUAACUGGGUUCUAGCCUAUCGAGACUCCUCAUAUUCUCCCCACCCCCGACCACUACCUCCAUACUGUCCUUCCUAAGUCACCAGGCCUGCACCCUUCCAGAAGCAUAGAUCCCUGGAUACAUGGAUAAUUACUUCCUGGCCUUAUACCAGACAGUGAUGCGAGACUGGAAAGAGGACAUGGCACGGAGUCAGAAGAUUUGAGUUCAAGUUCCUGCUCUGCCAAUUACCAGCUGUGUGAUCUUGGGCAAGUCACUUUACCUCUCUGUGUUAAGUUUCUCAUCUUCAAAAAUGAGCUAAUGGCAAUAGGAAUGGCUAUGAUGCCACAUGCCAAGGACUUAUAUGCCAUAUACUGUGUGUGUUAUCAUCUCGAGGGUUUAAUAGGAGGAGACUAUGGCCCAGAGAGAUGAACAAGCAGCAGGAAGUAGCAGAGCCAGCCUCUGAACCCAGGUCUAUCCAUUUCUACCAUGUUAACCUGCUUUGCAGGGCUGUAGUGAGAAUUUAAAUGUGGAAUUUAUAUUAUUCUCUUCUGGCAGUUUGGCCUGGAUCCUGGUGGGUGAGCUUUCCCUCCUACUAACAGGGGAAGCAGGGAAAGGCAUUUUCAAUUAUUAGAAACAUCCUUAGUUAGUGGGGUAUGAAAUGAAAAUAGCCCACUAGAAUACAAGCUUCAGAAGGGAAGAGGUCUCACCUGUCUUGAGUCUGUUGCUCACAUAAUUCCUGAUAUAUAGUAGAUGCACAAGCAAUAUGAAGAAAUGUAAACAUGUGUACACCUCCUACCUUCAUUAUAAGAUGGAUUCUAACACAGAGUCAUUUUUCAUACCAACCGUGCAAUUACCAGGCAAGUGAUGCUAAUUACUAGUUCUCAUGACCACUAUUGAGUUUAAUUCAAGAGUUUUAUUGGAUCCCCUGAAGCUCCUACAACCCUCUAAAUCAUGGGGAUUCAAUAACAGUCUUUUUAUCAGUAUGUUCACAAGAUAAAUUGAGUAAACCAGCUUAAUGACUCAUCUUCAUGACUUAUGACGUUAAGAAUAAGAUGGGGGGAAAUGACAAAUGUGAUAAAAACUGAUGGCUCUGAGAAAAUGUCAUGGGCAUGUGGUUCUGAAUGCUCUCCCAUGUGGCUCUAGGGGCCUCAGCAACCUUCAGUCCCGUGUCCACCCUCACUCCGCUUCAAUAAUCAAUUUGUUCUUAUCCAAAGCAUUUUUGAGGACCUUGUUACUCUUCUUCUCUGUGUUAAUCAGGCACACAGGCCUAAAAUAUCAAAUCCUAGGCAGAUGCAUGAACCCACAGGACAGCAACAUCGGGAGGGCAGAGUAGAGGCAGGCUUCAGUUCAAAGCAGGCAUAGGCUUGGAGAGGGAAACUGGGAAAUGAAAACAAGUUGUCUAUAUAGACUCUCUCCCUAGAAGUCCAUUUAAAGAAAAUAGAAGCUCAGUAAAAUCAAAAUCCAUGGGCAGUGGUGCCAUGCAAAGAGCAAAGACCUGAAUCUGAGUCUUGGAUCAGUGAGCGUCUUAGCUUUGCCUCCAAGCUCCAGUUUCCUCCACUCUAACUGGGGACGUAUUCUCUCCUCUCUCCUGGUUUCCUCCAGUUUCUCUGAACAUUCUUUUCAUUUUGGUUGUGAGUUCUUCUGCUGCUCUCUCCUGCACCCUUGGUAGGUUCUAUGCUGACUUUUAUUUUUCUCCUCUUAUAUGCUCUUGUUGGAAAGUCUCAUCCUUUUGUGAAUCCAACUGCUGCCCACGUGGGGUGAUUCCCAGGUUUAUGUCACCAGUCCUGCCUUCUCUACUACUCUUUAAAUUUGAAAACAAGGGCCGGGUGCAGUGGCUUAUGCCUGUGAUCUUGGCACUUUGGGAGGCCAAGGCAGGAGGAUCACUUGAGGCCAGGAGUUUGAGACCAGCCUGGGCAAUAUGACAAAACCUCAUCCCUACAAAAAAUACAAAAUUAGCUGGGCAUGGUGGCAAGCACCUGUAGUCCCAGCUACUUGGGAGGCUGAGGCAGGAGAAUCACUUGAACCCAGGAGGCAGAGGUUGCAGUGAGCUGAGAUCGCAUCACUGCACUCCAGCCUGAAUGACAGAGUGAGACAGUCUCAAAAAACAAACAAACAAAACCCAACUUUGGGUCACGCAUCCAUCCUUGACCAAUUAGCUGUAGCUAGGGAAGUGGAGUCCUACGGACACAGCAAACCACCACGAGAAUCAUGGAGAUGAAUAGGGGCAGGAUAAUUUACCAGAGGAAGCCUAGAGUGGAGUGCUGGACAGACCACCAUGUGGAGUUGCCAUCUGAGGACAUUGCUACUUGGAUACCCCCACAGGUAUUUCACCAUCUUCCCCUGAACUCAUAAUCUUCCCCUGAAAACCUGAAUCUCCUCUUCUCCUAACCCCCAUGAAGGGGCUGUCAUCUACCAAGUCACCCCACCUAGAGAUGUGAGAAUCAUUCUGGAAUCUCCCUCUCUAUCACGAACCCCAAUACUUCUAGCUAAUCACCAUGUCUCUCUAAUUCUACUUUCUAAAUAUUUCUCUUGUCCAUGCUACUUCUGUUUUCUGAGCUCAGGCCCUCCUCAUAGAUCUGGAACAUUGCAAUUGCAAUAACUUCUUUCUUUCUUUCUUUUUCUUUUCUUUCUUUUUUUUUUUUGACAGAGUCUUGCUAUGUUGCCCAGGCUGGAGUGCCCAGCUAAUUUUUGUAUUUUUAUUAGAGACAGGGUUUCGCCAUAUUGGCCAGGCUGGUCUCGAACUCCUGACCUCAAGCAAUCUGCCCGCCUCGGCCUCCCAAAGUGCUGGAAUUACAGGCGUGAGCCACUGCUCCUGGCCUGCAAUAGUUUCUUAGCUGGUCUCUCUGCUUCUAGUCAUGCUCCCCUAAUCUACUGUCCUCACUGCUGGCAGCCAUCUGCCUUUGUUUUCCUAAAUGAAAUAGAUUAUUUUCUGAUUAUAUUAAAAAUACAUGUUCAGCCAGGUAUGGUGGCUCAUGCUUAUAAUGCCAGCACUUUGGGAGGCUGAGGCAGGAAGACUGCUUGAGGCCAGCCUGAGCAACAUAGUGAGAUCUCAUCUCUACAAGAAAUUUAAAAAUUAGCCAGGCAUGGUGUCACACACCUGUUGUCCAAGCUACUGGGAAGACUGAGGUGGGAGGAUAGGUUGAGUCAUGGGAGGUCAAGGCUGCUGUGAGCUGAGAUCCUGCCACAGCACUCCAGCCUGUGUGACAGGGUGAGACCUGUCUCAAAAGAAGCAACAACAAAAGACAUGAUCAUUUUAAAAAUUAAUAAGGAAAAAAAUAAAAAGAAUGUAAACUUUGCCUAAAAUUUUACCACCGUGAGAGAACCAUGUUAUUUUGGUGAUCAUUCUUCUUUGCAUUUUUUAUUCCUAUUUUUAAAAAUUACAUAUCAUACACGCAGUGAGUGGGUUUUUUCCACUCUCCAGCUUCAUUGCAGGACAUGCCUUGCCUUGCACCUUAAGGCUGUAAAUACGGAGUUGCCUAUAAUCUCUUUGAGUACACCAUGUUGUUUCUCACCUCUCUGCCUGUGGUUAUACACCCUGUAUUAAUUUCCUAGGGUUGAAGUAACAAAGUGCAGGACUUAAAAAUAGCAGAAAUUUAUCCUCUUACAGUUCUGGAAGCUAGAAGUCUGAAAUCAAGGGGUUGGCAGGACCAUGACCCUUCCAGAACUUCCAGGGGGAGGAUCCUUCCUUGCCUCUUUCAGUUCCUGGUAGGCCCAGGCAUUCCUUGACUUGUAUAGCAAAACUCCAAACUCAUGUGAUCAUCUUCAUGUGGCCAUCGUCUCUGAGUCUGUGUGUCUCUCUGUCUUCACAUGGCAUUAUCCCUGUGUGUCUGUCUCUGUGUCUAAAUUUUCUUCAUCUUAAAAGGACGCCCAGCCAGGCAUGAUGACUCACAUCUGUAAUCCCAGCACUUUGGGAGGCUGAGGCAAGAGGAUUGAGGCCAAGAGUUCAAGACCAGCCGGGGAAGCAUAGUAAGUCCCUGUUCUCCACAAAAAUACAAAAAUUAGUCCCAACUACUUGGGAGACAGGCAGAAGGAUCACUUGAGCCCUGGAGAUAGAGGCUGCAGUGAGCUAUGAUUGUACCACUGCACUCCAGCCUGGGUGGCAGAGCAAGACUCUGUCUCAAAAUAAAAAGAAAAAACAAAAAA